AACGUAGGACGCAAGCGUUAUCCGGAAUUACUGGGCGUAAAGCGCGUGCAGGCGGAUCAGCAAGUCAUGCGUGAAAGCUCCCGGCUAAACUGGGAGAGGUCGGAUGAUACUGCUGAUCUAGAGGGUGCUAGAGGAGUGUGGAAUUCCGCGUGUAGUGGUGAAAUGCGUAGAGAUGCGGAGGAACACCAGUGGCGAAGGCGGCACUCUGGGGCAUACCUGACGCUGAGGCGCGAAAGCAUGGGGAGCGAACGGG
rnacentral:rRNA from 1 species